UGUCAACACUUAAAUGUAGGUUGUGAGUUCGAAUCCCACACGUGGCAGGUAAGCUCGACUCCAAUCACAAUUGAAUAGAAUUAUUAGUUUUUCGUACCGAAAGUCGGUGUUUCUUUCCGGGGACUUCGGCUUCCUCCAUCAAUAUAAACUCACCACCACGAAUUAGCAUGAUAGUGUUAAAAGUGGCGUUAAAAAGCAAUCAAUCAACAAAUUAAUCAACCAAUCAUCCAUACCGGUAUAAUUCUAUAUGCAAGAGAGGAUAAUAUUGUAGCUAUCGUUAUAAAAUAUUUUUGAAAUUGACUUUGAGUUCAUUGGUGUCUUUUGAAAUGAAUAGAAAUAGGAAGAUAUGAUAUGAGUGCCAAUGAGACAACUCUACAUCUAAGUCAUAAUGUGUAAAAAGAAAACAAUUAUAGGUUUAACUACGGCCUUCAACACGGAGCUUUUACUCAAACCGAACAGCAAGCUAUAAACAAGAGCCACACAGUUUGUUUUAUUUUAUUUUCGCCGCUGCCGGGAAAUACUUCAACUAGUUCCUGCAUUAAUUGAUCUUUAUCUUCCGCCGAAAUGUUUGAAACUUUAAUUUUUGUUAAAAUGCACUUUGUUUAGGGGCCAGCUGAAGAACGCCUCCGGGUGCGAGAAUUCUCGUUGCAUUGAAGACCUGUUGGUGACCUUCUGCUGUUGUCUGCUCUAUGGUCGGGUUGUUGUCUCUUUGGCACAUUCCCCAUUUCCAUUCUCAAUUUUACUGUCUCACUUUAUCUUAAAAAUGCACUUUCGCUUAAAAGAUUAAAGAUUUAUUUCUAAAACGUAAUAAGUUAACUGUAUGCUCAUUAUUGUAGAUCCCGUAUAUUCAUUAUUGUAGACCCA
rnacentral:lncRNA from 1 species